rnacentral:lncRNA from 1 species
AUAUAUAUAUAUAUAUAUAUAUAUAUAACUAUAGUAAUAAGAAUUUUAUUUUAUUUUUUUUAAACGUGCUAACUGUAAGUUUGUUCCUAUUUCAAUUAUGUUCAAAAAUUAUAAUAUAUUAGUUUUUAUAAAACGACUUAAACAAAUUAAAUCUUUUUAUAGCUCAGCUUUCAUUCUUUACUUCCUUCUUUCUUUCUUUCUUUCUUUCUUUUUUUUUUUUUUGUUUCCAUACAUAAGUUAUGAUACUAUUUACACAUUUUUAUUUUAUGUGAUUAAUUCUGUUAAAAAGUAACGGAAAAACGAAAUAGAAAAAGAGAGACAGAAGAGGUAGCCAAAAUGGAAAAAAGCGAAAAACAUGAAAGCAUGUUAAUGGCCAUUAUUCGUGAUUUCAACAGUAUAGAUGAUUUAAUUGAAAUGUUUGUGUCAUUUUUAGAAAGAAAAACAGAUUACUUUCAUAUAAUGAUUAGUGAUAAUGAUAUAAAACGUUACAUGAAAAAUAUAAUGGCGAAAUAGCGAAAGAUAUAUUAAAUAAUAAUAACCGUGGGUUUAGACCAAAUAAUAGAGAACAAGCACUGAUAAAAUUGUUCAGGAAACAUCAACUAAAUUAUUUAAUUAAAAAACAACCCUAUCUAAUUGAAAAUGAAAAUAUGAAAAAUAAAUAUUUACCACAAUGUGACGAAGUAAAAAAAUUAAAAAAUUUUACAAUUACCGAUGUAAAGAAUGUAAAAAAUAAUAACAUAAAAAACUCUGAAACUAUAACAACUCCCCUUAAUAGUACUGCCAUUGAUAAACAUAUAUCAAUAUGGAAUGGUGGACAUACCGAGAAAUAUUUUUGGAAUCAAACUUUAAACGAAAUAAAUAUGGAAAUUCCAAUGAACACAGAAAUUAAAGCGAAGGAUAUACAAAUUGAAAUAACUAAUAAUUAUAUAAAAGUUCAGCAUUUAGACAAAUUAAUAUUAAGUGGCCAAUUUUAUGAUGAAGUAUGUAAACAGUCAUCUAUGUGGAAUAUAGAAGAUAAAAAAAAAAUAAUAAUUUUUUUAGAAAAAAAAAAGAAAAUUGGUGGCCUUCUGUUAUAAAGGGGGACAAAGAAAUAGACACUUCAAAAAUUGAAUCUAAGAAAAAUUUAACAGAUUUUGAUCAAAAAACACAAGGAGAAAUAAUAAAAUUUUUACAAGAACAGAAAUUGUAAGAAUU